rnacentral:rRNA from 1 species
UACGAAGGGGGCUAGCGUUGCUCGGAAUUACUGGGCGUAAAGCGUGCGCAGGCGGUUCGUUGUGUCGGCGGUGAAAUCCCCGGGCUCAACCUGGGAAUGGCCGUUGAAACUGGCGAACUGGAGUGUGGCAGAGGGGGGGUGGAAUUCCGCGUGUAGCAGUGAAAUGCGUAGAGAUGCGGAGGAACACCGAUGGCGAAGGCAGCCCCCUGGGCUGACACUGACGCUCAGGCACGAAAGCGUGGGGAGCAAACAGG